rnacentral:rRNA from 1 species
UACAGAGGGUGCGAACGUUGCUCGGAAUUACUGGGCGUAAAGCGCGCGUAGGCGGCUUGACAAGUCGAGUGUGAAAUCCCCGGGCUUAACCUGGGAGCUGCAUUCGAAACUGUCUUGCUAGAGUAUGGGAGAGGGAGGUGGAAUUUCAGGUGUAGCGGUGAAAUGCGCAGAUAUCAGGAGGAACACCGGUGGCGAAGGCGGUUCUCUGGGCAUGUUCUGACGCUGAGGUGCGAAAGCGUGGGGAGCAAACAGG